rnacentral:lncRNA from 1 species
CUCCAAGGAUGGUGCUGCUGUUUCCUGGCUUCUUGGCAAUACUGAAACUCAUCUCUCUGGAGCAGUUAUGUUUCUCUAGGGAUUCACCAUUAUCUCAGAAUCAAAAUCUGGAACCUUCGUGAUCUGGCUGAAGUCAGGAAGUUUCAGGCAAGGAAAUCAAGGAAGAUCUUCGGGCUUUAAACCACGGUCGAAGCUGAUAUCUAACCUGCAAUCACUGAAAAGUAGACAAUACAAUCCACCCUCUUCAGCAGGAAGCAGUUACACCCUUCUAAGCCCCAUGACCCUUCUGUCAUUCUUGCCGCUGACCUGGAAGGUGAGAAAGCUUUGACUUCUGUAGAGACAUCAUAAUGUUUUGUCUAUUUUUGGUUUACUUCAUAAGCUCUAUAUACA